AAAACCCUGCCCCCUUGUUUCAUUUGCAACUGUUUUUCAGGGACAACCUAACUCCAGAGAGCAGAGGCAAAACUGGGGUUUUUGGAUUGCAGUACCUCCUGCCAGCUGAAAAUGAGGACCGCGCCACUGGAGAUGUUAUUCUCUGGAGCACUCCCCAGUAAACUCUCCAUCUAAGAGUCUGUUUCCCAGAGAAUUCAUCUAAAACAGUAGCUUGGUGACCUAGUUCAUGAAGACUUGCUUGCUAAAGUCUCCAACAUCCUCAUCUCCAGCAUCUCUUCAAUAAAAUAGCCAACAUAAUUUAGACACUGCUGGCCACCUUCCACAAAGAAAGGGCAUCCUCUGCUUUUUCAGCCUGCUGUGUUGUGAGUUACCUCCCCUUUGGAUGUUUUCUGUGUUCACCUUUUUAAAGCCUGCAUUUUCAACAAUGGGUGGUUGGUUUUAAAUCAUGUGACUCUGCUUUGAGAUACUCAUCAGUAGGUGGAAGAACACUAAACUGUUAAGACCUGGCUUAUGACUUAUUACUGAGAUUCAGCUUAAGGGAAAUGCAAUACAAGUGGCAGUGUCAGAACAUUAAUAGUGUUAUUUGCAUUUUCCUGAGAAUGCAAGGACAUUUGGGACUAUGAUUCCUCUAGAGUGAUCAUCUGUAACUAUUAUAUUAAUUCUACUUUUUUUACAACUCAAUUUCUGACAAUAAUUUGCAUCCUUGAAACACAUUCUUUGCCAUUAAUAGUCCUACCUACAUUUUAACCCACAGUGCAAAAUUGGCAGCUAUAAAUUUACUCAGUCUGUUCAGAAAGUGACCAAACAAAACAGUGCCUUAAUGAUCACUGAAACAUUAAACAACACAAAAAGUGCACUGACAUGCAAUAAAAUAUCCUACACCCUUCUUCAAAAAUCUUGUGAAAAACUUAAAAUGCACUUUUUGCAUUCUAUUGGUAAAAACAAGUCUUUUUAAUGUUACUUAAGAAAAAGACACCAAGAAGGAAUUCACUUAAAAGAAACAAAAUGGGAUAACUGAAAAAUUGUGCUCUACACUGGAAUUUGACACAACAUUGUAAAAUGACUAUAACUCAAUUAAAAAAUGUUAAAAAAAAUAAUUAUAACAGCUAAGUUCAUAGGUACAGAGAAGAGAUUAGUAGUUGUCAAAGUCGAGAGCUGGUGAAAUGGGUGAAUGGGGUCAAGAGUUACAGACUUCCAGUUAUGAAAUAAGUAACUUGUGAGGAUGUAGUGUACAAUAUGGUGACUAUAGUUAACAAUAAUAUAUUGCAUAUUUGAAAGUGGUUAAGAGAAUGAAUCUUAAAAAUUCUCAUCACAAGAAAAAAACUGUUGUAACUAUACAUGGUGACAGAUGUUAACUAGACUUAACUGUGGUGAUCAUUUUUCAGUGCAUACAAACAUCAAAUCAUUAUA